GUGGAUUAGAUACCCCGGUAGUCCAUGCAAUAAACGAUGCACACUGAAUGUUCGUUGUCCUACGGGGCAAUGAGUGUUGAAGCUAACGCGUUAAGUGUGCCGCCUGGGGAGUACGGUCGCAAGGCUAAAACUCAAAGGAAUUGACGGGGGCCCGCACAAGCAGCGGAGCGUGUGGUUUAAUUCGAGGGUACGCGAAGAACCUUACCUGGGUUUGACAUACUGGUGGUAGGGACCUGAAAGGGGACCGACUUUUCGGAGAGCCAGUACAGGUGCUGCACGGCCGUCGACAGCU
rnacentral:rRNA from 1 species